rnacentral:rRNA from 1 species
UACGGAGGGAGCUAGCGUUGUUCGGAAUUACUGGGCGUAAAGCGCGUGUAGGCGGCCCUGCAAGUCGGAUGUGAAAUCCCACGGCUCAACCGUGGAAGUGCAUUCGAAACUGCAGGGCUAGAGUCCUGGAGAGGAAGGUGGAAUGCUUGGUGUAGAGGUGAAAUUCGUAGAUAUCAAGCGGAACACCGGUGGCGAAGGCGGCCUUCUGGACAGUGACUGACGCUGAGACGCGAAAGCGUGGGGAGCAAACAGG